CAGCAGCCGCGGGAAUACGUAGGUGGCAAGCGUUGUCCGGAAUUAUUGGGCGUAAAGGGCUCGCAGGCGGUUUCUUAGGUCUGAUGUGAAAGCCCCCGGCUCAACCGGGGAGGGUCAUUGGAAACUGGGAAACUUGAGUGCAGAAGAGGAGAGUGGAAUUCCACGUGUAGCGGUGAAAUGCGUAGAGAUGUGGAGGAACACCAGUGGCGAAGGCGACUCUCUGGUCUGUAACUGACGCUGAGGAGCGAAAGCGUGGGGAGCGAACAGGAUUAGAUACCCCAGUAGUCCCUGUCUCUUAUAC
rnacentral:rRNA from 1 species